rnacentral:ncRNA from 1 species
GACUUUUCCCGUGGUGAUUUGUCCGACCGGAUUGCGGCCACGUUAAACAACCCGCUAAAGAGGUUCGCGCCCGGUAUCU